rnacentral:pre_miRNA from 1 species
UAUGUACUCCCUUCGUUCGGAAUUACUUGUCACAAAAAUGGAUGUAUCUACAACUAAAAUACAUCUAGAUACAUUCAUUUAUUGGACGAGUAAUUCCGAAUGGAGGGAGUAGCUC